CUUUGUUAUCUUUGCUGGAUUCCUGUGUCCUGACACCUGGGCCCUGUUGGGAGCCUCAUACAGCCACGGGCCUCAAGGACAGUCCACAUGGGCCUCUCCCGAUGAUGUGCCACCCUCUGCCUCUGGCUAGGCCGGGUCUCCCAAGAUCUCCACGGAUGAAUGGGCUCUUGACUUCCUCAAGACCGAGCGACACUCAGCUGACCAACGUGAGCUGGAGGCGGGAGCCACUUGGGCCACAAACCACAGUCUACCCAGCCCUGGGCUUCAGGCUUUCUCCUGGGGCCUGGAGGAUGCAUGAGUUGACUUGGGUUGGAAUGGAGGGCAUAGCUGGCAGACGAGGACCAGAGCCCCCUAUCAUUAGCCUACUGUGUAUUCAUCCCCAACUCCAGAUGGGAGCCAAGCCCAGGGCUGCAGGGACAAAGCAUUGCUAUUAAGCUCUGAACCUUUCUGGAUCCAUUUCCUCAGCUCACCACCCUGAAGUGCCACUGAGGAAAGAUCAAUAAGAAAGCAGUGACCAAAUAGGCUUCAUUAUAAGUAACUGAUGUUGCAUCAAAAUAGAGUCCCUGUUGAAUGACCCAAUUUCUGUUGGGUUUUUUUUUUUCUCUGUUCAAAAGUACUACAUAAUCAUUGUGGAAAUUUUACAAAAUUUAGAUAAGACGAGAAAAUUAGAGACACCCAUGUCCUAUCAAAAGAGAUAGUCACUUUCAUGUGCAGAUAGAUUUGAUAUUUUUGUAACAGCUUUACUAAGACAAUUUGCGUAUAAAAUUCACCCUUCGUAAGUGUAUGUCCAGUAAGCUUUCGCUGUUGUAUACAUUGUAUAACCACUGUGAUACUCAAGAUAUGUCCAUCAUCCCAAAAAGUUCCCUUGGGUCAUUUUAUAGCCAAUCCUUUCUCCCCACUCUCUAUCUCAGGAAACCACCAUCUGAUUUCUGAAUGCUGUGUACAUGAGAUCAGACAGUGGGUAGCCUUUUGAUUCUGGCUUCUUUUCACUCAGCAGUGUGUUUUUGAGGUUCAUUCAUAUUUCAAAUUUAUCAAUCCAUUCUUUUUGGUUUUUUUGGUACCGGGGAUCAAACUCGGGUCCUUGUGCUUGCGCAGCAGGCAGAGAAACCACUGAGCUAAAUCCCCGGCCCAAUCCAUUCUUUUUUUGGUACUGGGAAUCGAACUCGGGGACUUGUGGUUGUGAGGCAAGGGGCAGAACCACU
ensembl:lncRNA